rnacentral:rRNA from 1 species
CGUAAACAGAGGGAAGCGAGCCUGCGAGGGGGAGCGAAUCCCAAAAAUAACGUCCCAGUUCGGAUUGUAGUCUGCAACCCGACUACAUGAAGCUGGAAUCGCUAGUAAUCGCGGAUCAGAAUGCCGCGGUGAAUACGUUCCCGGGUCUUGUACACACCGCCCGUCACACCAUGGGAGUCGGAAAUGCCCGAAGUCUGUGACCCAACCUUAGGGAGGGAGCAGCCGAAGGCAGGUCGGAUGACUGGGGUGAAGUCGUAACAAGGUACC